UACACUCCUGCGGGAGGCAGCAGUGGGGAAUUUUGGACAAUGGGCGAAAGCCUGAUCCAGCAAUGCCGCGUGAGUGAAGAAGGCCUUCGGGUUGUAAAGCUCUUUUGUCAGGGAAGAAACGGUGAAAGCUAAUAUCUUUUGCUAAUGACGGUACCUGAAGAAUAAGCACCGGCUAACUACGUGCCAGCAGCCGCGGUAAUACGUAGGGUGCAAGCGUUAAUCGGAAUUACUGGGCGUAAAGCGUGCGCAGGCGGUUUUGUAAGUCUGAUGUGAAAUCCCCGGGCUCAACCUGGGAAUUGCAUUGGAGACUGCAAGGCUAGAAUCUGGCAGAGGGGGGUAGAAUUCCACGUGUAGCAGUGAAAUGCGUAGAUAUGUGGAGGAACACCGAUGGCGAAGGCAGCCCCCUGGGUCAAGAUUGACGCUCAUGCACGAAAGCGUGGGGAGCAAACAGGAUUAGAAACCCCUGUAGUCCCAUGA
rnacentral:rRNA from 1 species